rnacentral:rRNA from 1 species
GACGAACCGAGCGAACGUUGUUCGGAAUCACUGGGCUUAAAGGGCGCGUAGGCGGGUGCUCAAGUCCGGGGUGAAAUCCCACAGCUCAACUGUGGAACUGCCUCGGAUACUGGGUGUCUCGAGGGUGGCAGGGGUAUGCGGAACUAUCGGUGGAGCGGUGAAAUGCGUUGAUAUCGAUAGGAACUCCGGUGGCGAAGGCGGCAUACUGGUCCACUUCUGACGCUGAGGCGCGAAAGCCAAGGGAGCAAACGGG